UACGUAGGGUGCGAGCGUUGUCCGGAUUUAUUGGGCGUAAAGAGCUCGUAGGCGGCUUGUCGCGUCGACCGUGAAACCUCACAGCUCAACUGUGAGCCUGCGGUCGAUACGGGCAGGCUAGAGUUCGGUAGGGGAGACUGGAAUUCCUGGUGUAGCGGUGAAAUGCGCAGAUAUCAGGAGGAACACCGGUGGCGAAGGCGGGUCUCUGGGCCGAUACUGACGCUGAGGAGCGAAAGCGUGGGGAGCGAACAGG
rnacentral:rRNA from 1 species